rnacentral:rRNA from 1 species
AUUGAACGCUGGCGGCAUGCCUUACACAUACAAGUCGAACGGCAGCACGGGGCAACCUGGUGGCGAGUGGCGAACGGGUGAGUAAUGCAUCGGAACGUACCUUUCAGUGGGGGAUAACGUAGCGAGGGUUACGCUAAUACCGCAUAUUCUGUGAGCAGGAAAGCAGGGGAUCGCAAGACCUUGCGCUGAUUGAGCGGCCGAUGUCGGAUUAGCUAGUUGGUGAGGUAAAGGCUCACCAAGGCGACGAUCUGUAGCGGGUCUGAGAGGAUGAUCCGCCACACUGGAACUGAGACACGGUCCAGACUCCUACGGGAGGCAGCAGUGGGGAAUUUUGGACAAUGGGGGCAACCCUGAUCCAGCCAUGCCGCGUGAGUGAAGAAGGCCUUCGGGUUGUAAAGCUCUUUCGGCCGGGAAGAAAUCGCACGGGCUAAUACCCUGUGUGGAUGACGGUACCGGAAUAAGAAGCACCGGCUAACUACGUGCCAGCAGCCGCGGUAACAC